rnacentral:rRNA from 1 species
AUGCAAGUCGAACGCAGUAGCAAUACUGAGUGGCAAACGGGUGAGUAUAAUGUGGGAAUCUGCCUUUUGGUUUGGAAUAACACGGGGAAACUUGUGCUAAUACCGAAUAAGCCCUUACGGGGAAAGUUUUAACGCCGAAAGAUGAGCCCGCACUUGAUUAGCUAGUUGGUAAGGUAAAAGCUUACCAAGGCAACGAUCAAUAGCUGUUCUUAGAGGAAGACCAGCCACAUUGGGACUGAGACACGGCCCAGACUCCUACGGGAGGCAGCAGUGGGGAAUCUUGCACAAUGGGGGAAACCCUGAUGCAGCGAUGCCGCGUGAGUGAAGAAGGCCUUUGGGUUGUAAAACUCUUUCGUCGGGGAAGAAAAUGUCUGUACCCGAAUAAGAAGGUCCGGCUAACUUCGUGCCAGCAGCCGCGGUAAUACGAAGGGACCUAGCGUAGUUCGGAAUUACUGGGCUUAAAGAGCUCGUAGGUGGUUAAAAAAGUUGAUGGUGAAAUCCCAAGGCUCAACCUUGGAACUGCCAUCAAAACUUUUUAGCUAGAGUGUGAUAGAGGUAAGUGGAAUUUCUAGUGUAGAGGUGAAAUUCGUAGAUAUUAGAAAGAACACCAAAUGCGAAGGCAACUUACUGGGUCACUACUGACACUGAGGAGCGAAAGCAUGGGUAGCGAAGAGGAUUAGAUACCCUCGUAGUCCAUGCCGUAAACGAUGAGUGCUAGACGUUGGAAAUAUAUUUUUCAGUGUCGCAGCGAAAGCAUUAAGCACUCCGCCUGGGGAGUACGACCGCAAGGUUAAAACUCAAAUGAAUUGACGGGGACCCGCACAAGCAGUGGAGCAUGUGGUUUAAUUCGAAGAUACGCGCAGAACCUUACCAACGCUUGACAUGUUCGUCGCGAGACUAAGAGAUUAGUUUCUUCAGUUCGGCUGGACGAAACACAGGUGCUGCAUGGCUGUCGUCAGCUCGUG